CAGUAGCCGCGGUAAUACGGAGGGGGCUAGCGUUGUUCGGAAUUACUGGGCGUAAAGCGCACGUAGGCGGCUUGGUAAGUUAGAGGUGAAAGCCUGGAGCUCAACUCCAGAAUUGCCUUUAAGACUGCCGAGCUAGCAGGUGAGAGAGGUAAGUGGAAUUCCGAGUGUAGAGGUGAAAUUCGUAGAUAUUCGGAAGAACACCAGUGGCGAAGGCGGCUUACUGGCUCAUACUGGACGCUGAGGUGCGAAAGCGUGGGGAGCAAACAGGAUUAGAUACCCGUGUAGUCCCUGUCUCUUAUAU
rnacentral:rRNA from 1 species